CUUGGUUGAUCCUGCGAGUAGUCAUAUGCUUGUUUCAAAGAUUAAGCCAUGCAUGUCUAAGUAUGAACUAAUUCAGAAUGUGAAACUAUGGAUGGCUCAUUAAAUCAGUUAUAGUUUUUUUUUAUGGUACCAUACUACUCAGAUAAUCGUAGUAAUUCUAGAGCUAAUACGUGCACCAAGUCCCAACUCUUUGGAAGGGAUGCAUUUUUCAGAUAAAAUGUUGGUGCGGGCUUGCUCGCUUCUCCGGUGAAUCAUGAUAACUCGGCGGAUAGCACAGCCCUUGUGCUGGCGAUGCUUCAUUCAAAUUUCUGCCCUAUAAACUUUCGAUGGUAGGAUAGAGGCCUACCAUGGUGGUGACGGGUGACGGAGAAUUAGGGUUUGAUUCCAGAGAGGGAGCCUGAGAAAUGGCUACCACAUCCAAGGAAGGAAGCAGGCACGCAAAUUACCCAAUCCUAGCAUGGGGAGGCAGUGAAAAUAAAUAACAAUACUGGGCUCAUCGAGUCUGGUAAUUGGAAUGAGUACAAUCUAAAUCCCUUAAUGAGGAUCCAUUGGAGGGAAAGUCUGGUGCCAGUAACUGCAGUAAUUCCAGCUCCAAUAGCGAAUAUUUAAGUUGUUGUAGUUAAAAAGCUCAUAGUUGGAUCUUGGGUCAUAAAGUUCGGUCUGCCUACUCGGUGUGCACCUGCCCUUCCGUCCCUUUUGUCGGCGGCAUGCUCCUGGCCUUAAUUGGCUGGGUUGGAGCUUCAACGUUGUUACUUUGAAAAAAUUAGAGUGCUCAAAGCAAGCUUAUGCUUUGAAUACAUUAGCAUGGAAUAACGUGAUAGGAGUUUGGUCCUAUUGUGUUGGCCUUCGAGACCGGAGUAAUGAUUAAUAGGGACUGUCGGGGGCAUUCGUAUUUCAUUGUCAGAGUUGAAAUUCUUGGAUUUAUGAAAGACAGACCACUGUGAAAGCAUUUGCCAAGGAUGUUUUCAUUAAUCAAGAAUGAAAGUUGGGGGCUCGAAGACGAUCAGAUACCAUCCUAGUCUCAACCAUAAACGAUGCCGACCAGGGAUCGACGUAUGUUACUCUGAGGACUCUGCCAGCACCUUCUAAGAAAUCAAAGUGUUUGGGUUCCAGGGGGAGUAUGGUCGCAAGGCUGAAACUUAAAGGAAUUGACGGAAGGGCACCACCAGGAGUGGAGCCUGCGGCCUAAUUUGAUUCAACACGGGGAAACUUACCAGGUCCAAACAUAGUAAGGAUUGACAGAUUGAGAGCUCUUUCUUGAUUCUAUGGGUAGUGGUGCAUGUCCAUUCUUAGUUGGUGGAACGAUUUGUCUAGUUAAUUCUGAUAACAAAUGAGACCUCAGCCUACUAACUACCUAGGUGGAGGUUCCCCUUCACGGCCAGCUUCUUAGAGGGACUGUGGUCGUUUAGGCCAUGGAAGUUUGAGGCAAUAACAGGUCUGUGAUGCCCUUAGAUGUUUUGGGCCACACGCGCGCUACACUGAUGCAGCCAACGAGCUUUUCUUCCUAGUUCGAGAGGAUCGGGAAAUCUUCUCAAAUUGUAUCAUGAUGGGGAUAGACCAUUGCAAUUAUUGGUCUUCAAUGAGGAAUUCCUAGUAAGCACGUGUCAUCAACUCGUGUUGACUAUAUCCCUGCCCUUUGUACACACCACCCAUCGCUCCUACCGAUUGAAUGAUCUGGUGAAGUGUUUGGAUUGCAUCGACGAUGGUGGUCCACUGCCGUUGACGUCGUGAGAAGUUCAUUGAACCUUAUCAUUUAGAGGAAGGAGAAGUCGUGACAAGGUUACCGUAGGUGAACCUGCAGUAG
rnacentral:rRNA from 1 species